GGCGGGUUACCCAAGCGGCCAAAGGGAUCUGACUGUAAAUCAGACUGCACUGCAUUCGGGGGUUCGAAUCCCUCACCCGCCACCA
rnacentral:tRNA from 1 species